GACGAACGCUGGCGGCGUGCUUAACACAUGCAAGUCGAACGGAAAGGCCCUGCUUUUGUGGGGUGCUCGAGUGGCGAACGUGUGUGUCACACGUGUGUCCCCUGCCCUUGUCUCUGGGAUAACUUCAGGAAACUGGGGCUAAUACCGGAUAGGAGCUCCUGCUGCAUGGUGUGGGUUGGAAAGUUUCGGCGGUUGGGGAUGGACUCGCGGCUUGUCAGCUUGUUGGUGUGGUGGUGGCUUACCAUGGCUUUGACGGGUAGCCGGCCUGAGAGGGUGACCGGCAACAUUGGGACUGAGAUACGGCACAGAGUACUACGGGAGGCAGCAGUAGGGAAUAUUGCACGAUGGGCGGACGCCGGAUGCAGCAACGCCGCGUGCGGGAUGACGGCCUUCGGGGUGUAGACCGCUUUCACCUGUGACGAAGCGUGAGUGACGGUAAUGGGUAAAGAAGCGCCGGCUAACUACGUG
rnacentral:rRNA from 1 species